rnacentral:rRNA from 1 species
GGAAGUAAAAAAUCGUAACAAGGUCUCCGUUGGUGAACCAGCGGAGGGAUCAUUACUGAGUUACCGCUCUAUAACCCUUUGUGAACAUACCUACAACUGUUGCUUCGGCGGGUAGGCCGUCCCCUGAAAAGGACGCCUCCCGGCCGGGACCGGACCCCCCGUGGGGCCGGACCCGGCGCCCGCCGGAGGAUAACCAAACGCUAUUUUAACGACGUUUCUUCUGAGUGGCAUAAGCAAAAUAAUCAAAACUUUUAACAACGGAUCUCUUGGUUCUGGCAUCGAUGAAGAACGCAGCGAAAUGCGAUAAGUAAUGUGAAUUGCAGAAUUCAGUGAAUCAUCGAAUCUUUGAACGCACAUUGCGCCCGCCAGCAUUCUGGCGGGCAUGCCUGUUCGAGCGUCAUUUCAACCCUCAAGCUCUGCUUGGUGUUGGGGCUCUACGGUCAACGUAGGCCCUCAAAGGUAGUGGCGGACCCUCCCGGAGCCUCCUUUGCGUAGUAACAUUUCGUCUCGCACUGGGAUCCGGAGGGACUCUUGCCGUAAAACCCCCCAAUUUUUCAAGGUUGACCUCGGAUCAGGUAGGAAUACCCGCUGAACUUAAGCAUAUCAA